rnacentral:lncRNA from 1 species
UGUACAUAAAGCAUUCUCUCAGCUGCCAGUAUGGAGCAAGCCUGACUUUCUACAGUUAUGGCACUUCAACCUUUGUUGUCUUCAUAUUUGGGACUGAAGGCUGUCUUGUGACAUACAGUAUGAGUUUAUAGACUGGGUAUUAAACAAGGAACCACUGAAAAACAGUAAAUUUAAAACCAUCAAAAAGCUUCAAGAUUCUUCUUGGAUGAGAUCCUUGUUAUCUUGGAUGUGUAAAUCCUACUGCAACUCAGUGACAGUCAAACUUACUUGUUCGCACCUUCUUUAAAGCUAUGGAAAACUUUGCUUGCUACAGAAAUUACGAAGUUAAAUAUACCUUCAGAUUUCUGUGGAUAUAAACCAUUUCUCCCUGAAUUUUGUUGGCCAGAUUGAAUUUCUCUUUUUUUUUAGGGAAAUAUGCAUCAUUUGGUAUUAACUUAUUAGGUGGUGGUACUUGGUAAGUAAAUGUAUUUUUAAAAUUUUACAGAAUAUUUCUUUCAAAAUAGCUGUAAGAUAUUGAAAUAACUAUUUUAUAACACCUCCUAUCAUGAUUGAAUGGAACAAAAUAAUGUCUGAUAUUGUCUAUCUGAGUAACUUCAUCCUUCUUCCAAAUUUGCUGAAUGAUCAUUUACUGUUUCCCAUUUCAGAUGAUCGAACAUUUCAUUGAUGAAGCUCAUAAAAAACUUAUUCAAAACCAUACUGAAAUUCAAUGACAUAUCUGAAAAUUAAAUGUUUUUUGUGCACGGACCAACCAUAGGUUAUAUCAGCAAGAUCCUUAUGUGAUCAAUUAGUGCUCCAAAGACAAACCUCUCUCCAGGAGUAAAAUAUGAGCCCCAGUCCUGGAGGGGAUUAACCCUCAGUUCGAGAAUAGUUAUUCAUUCCUGUAAUUGAAUACAAAAGACAUAGGGAUUGAUUUUCACCUAUACCCAAAUUCAUGGCUCCUGGGAGGGUAUGAGCUGCUGACAAAUAAUUUCAGCUUCAGCCAUUGAUUAUGCUUCUAUAGUGAACAUUACAUAUACAGUAAGGUUGAUAUAAUAUAUAUUGCUGGAGUAAUAUAAUAUAAGUACUCCCCAUUUCUUAACCUAUCUUUCACUACCCUUAAGCUGUGCCGUGCACAGGAGAUGUAGAAUUCGGCUUCCUAGGAAGGAAAUGGCCAUGAAGCAGAAAAAUGAAUUCACCCUCAUUGUAUUGUAGUGAUGUGGUGAAGAUAAUCACUGCAGCUUUAUUCCAUUUAUUUUGAAAGAGAAAGCCUUUGCCUUUUCAAACUGCCUUGACCAUAUCACCACUCAUCUAUUUGCAAUGAAAAUCUGACAUCAGAGUACAGAAUUAUAGCUGGAGAAAUUGUCUUCUCAUUUCAUAUUUACCUUGUUUCCUCUCCUGAGUCACUGGAAAUGCAGCGACCUAGGUCCGUGCUUUUACACUUUUUUUUACUAUAUAUACACACGUAGAUAAAAAAAUUAGUGUGUGUGUACUGCCAAACUCUUCAGCUCACUACUCAUCUUCCCAGGUGUCUUCACACACCGUAAUUUCUGGUGUUUAAAAUUGGUAGACUGCAAAAAGUAGCACUCCUGCGUUCCCUCUCAUUCAUAUUGUGAAUAUUCAGUUCUCCAAGAAUUUUGCUGCUGGUGUCUGACCAGCCAAGCCCAUAUCAGAAUCGGCCACAGUCUAAUCAUAGUUUUUACCAAUUAAAACUUGUGUGCUAUAAUUUGUUUUUGUUUGUUUGUUUGUUUGUUUUGAUAACCUAAAGCAUAUUCUACUGUUUGCUGUUAAAAUAAAAUCCUUUCUGUUUACCUCCUCAUGGCUCACUGAAAAAAAUAUAUGCUUACAAUUGCAGCUUUCAAAAUGUUUUUUAUUUCUUCAGAUUUCUACUACAAAGCUUCAAUGUAAUCAAUAAUUCUAACUAGCUAUCUGACAGAGUACUUAACUUUAUUUUUCCUAAUAAAAACAAAUAGUUGGAGAAGAAUGUGUCCAAAGCCAUUUUUUUCCAUUCCUUUCUCAUGGCUUGCCUCUUGUCUUCUGUAUAAGGAAUUUUAGCAUUUCAAAUUUUAAGCUGAAGAUAAAUCCUUCUUUUUGAAGAAGUGUUUCUCACCAAGAGAGCCUUUUUUUUUUUUAAAGUAAGGAUAGCAAAUCCAGCCUGAUAGAACAAACACCUGAAGACAUUUUCUGUACAAUAAUAUCUCUUUAACAGAAUUAAAAUUCUAGAGAUUUAAUUCUUUGCAGACUUAACUCAACUGAAGGAAUAAGAAAUGCUGUGAUAAAACAAUAUGAUUACUUCAGUCUCCAUGUAGUAUAAAGUACGAUUCUACAGGAUUUCUUCAGUAGCCCAUGUCCAUAGUGAUCUUAAUUUUUGCUUUGUCAGAAGAGCUCUAUGAUAGGUUAAUUCUUCAGAAAUACUUAUCGUCCAUUACAUCAGAUUUCAUUUAUUUCUCCACUAUGAAAUGCAAUUUUUGGAAUUAUUAUUCUUUUUAUUAUUGUUGCUAUUACAGAACUUCCAGUGUUGGACAAAUUUACUGCUGGUACCUUCCUGUUUUCAUCCCUUUUCUUCCAAAUCCAGUGCCUAACCAAUUGAUUGUUUACUUGGAUAAACAAUUUGUUUUCCCUAAUGAAAAAAGAUAAGACUUCAUUGCCUAUUUUGUGUGGAACUGGGGCUCCUCUAGCUUCUGCAUUUUUUCCUAUUA